UUUAAUUAUGGUUGUACUUUUUGUGGCUCUCGUUUCACCGUAAACUUUGGUUUUGUUAAUUCCAUGGAUCUUUUUUUUUUGUGAGGUUUAAUUAUGUGUUUCUAUGAACUUUGGUAUGCUCCAUUUGUUUGUUUAAUUUUUCUUAUUCUUAAGUUAAGCUUGAAGGAACCAAGUGAUGCUUGCAAGGAAGGAAGCGUAGGACACUUCGAGUGGUGAUGAUAAGAAUUGGUUGUCG
rnacentral:lncRNA from 1 species